AGAGUUUGAUCAUGGCUCAGAUUGAACGCUGGCGGCAUGCCUUACACAUGCAAGUCGAACGGCAGCGCGGGGCAACCUGGCGGCGAGUGGCGAACGGGUGAGUAAUAUAUCGGAACGUGCCCUGGAGUGGGGGAUAACGCAGCGAAAGUUGCGCUAAUACCGCAUACGAUCUAAGGAUGAAAGCAGGGGACCGCAAGGCCUUGUGCUCCUGGAGCGGCCGAUAUCUGAUUAGCUAGUUGGUGGGGUAAAGGCCUACCAAGGCAUCGAUCAGUAGCUGGUCUGAGAGGACGACCAGCCACACUGGAACUGAGACACGGUCCAGACUCCUACGGGAGGCAGCAGUGGGGAAUUUUGGACAAUGGGCGAAAGCCUGAUCCAGCAAUGCCGCGUGAGUGAAGAAGGCCUUCGGGUUGUAAAGCUCUUUUGUCAGGGAAGAAACGGUGUGGGCUAAUAUCCCGCACUAAUGACGGUACCUGAAGAAUAAGCACCGGCUAACUACGUGCCAGCAGCCGCGGUAAUACGUAGGGUGCAAGCGUUAAUCGGAAUUACUGGGCGUAAAGCGUGCGCAGGCGGUUUUGUAAGUCUGUCGUGAAAGCCCCGGGCUCAACCUGGGAAUUGCGAUGGAGACUGCAAGGCUUGAAUCUGGCAGAGGGGGGUAGAAUUCCACGUAGCAGUGAAAUGCGUAGAGAUGUGGAGGAACACCGAUGGCGAAGGCAGCCCCCUGGGUCAAGAUUGACGCUCAUGCACGAAAGCGUGGGGAGCAAACAGGAUUAGAUACCCUAGUAGUCC
rnacentral:rRNA from 1 species